rnacentral:lncRNA from 1 species
GCCAACCACUACACUUGGGGCAUGGAAUGAACUGAUUGGCUGAGAUCCCAGACACUGCCCACGCCUGGAGCCCCUGAGACAAGGAUGAGCAGAUGCUGCCAAGUCAAACCUCAGAAGUCCUCUGUGGUCACACCAGGAUGCAGGACGUGGGAGGACGUGGGCAGAUCCUGUGGGCAGGAUCCCAUGGCCCAGGGCAGCCUCCACAGCUAAGCGUGAGUCACUUGCUGCAGAACCAGACCUCCAGGCUGCAAAGGCUCACUGGCCCAGGAUGAUGGAGGAAGAUGCUGCUGGAUGUGGGCUUUCAUGUUGGCUGGGUCUGGGGAAGAAUAAAGGAGGAUGGCUAAUUGGCCACGUGACUCCUGAGUCUCUGCCUCUGUGGUUGCCAGUGGUCUGGCAUGGUCCAUGGUCAGCUUCCCCAUCAGUGCUCUGGAUGGGAGCGACGCUUGUCUGAGUCUCAGGUCACUUGGGAAGACAUCUGCAAUCACCCACAGAACUGGCCUGGCUGUAGGACUUGGCGCCCGUCUCUGGCUGAGAGCCUGCCCCAUGCAUCUAGGCAAACAGGUGGAUUCCCUGUGGGGCCACUACUUGAUUCUGAACUUUGGCGUCUGCACCAGAGUUACACAUCCAGAAAAGGAGGGACAGUGCAGUCAUGCAUGGGACUCAGCUAAUUCACAUUCACAUGGCUCAGAGGUUCCUGGCCCUGAGUUUAUGCCUCAUCUACACAGAAGGAGUUACAUCAGUAUUAUCAAGCCAUGCCCACUGGGUCAAAACAGAGACCUUGUGGUGAAGUCCAGCCCUCUCACCCAUUUCCCAGAUGAAGAAACCAAGUCCCAGAGGAGAAAGUGUCUUGAUUAUAUGGUAAGUUAGAACUGACCCUAGACAAUUCUUUCUAGGUCAAAGACAAAAGCCCAAGUCCUCAGACAUGUAACAAAUGCCUACGAAUCAAUAAAGAAGAAAGACCCAGUAGGAAAACGGGAAGG